rnacentral:misc_RNA from 1 species
UCCAGCGGUUUGUCUGUUGCAUACUCUUCCGUUCGAUUAGAUUGUGACAUUUUUUCUGUUAUUACAAGAUGUUUACCUGGUUAAGCUGUGCUAAUUCCGACGAAGAAUCAAGAAAUCCAAUCCCUGAAACUGUGAUGAAACGAUUAACGCUGCAACAGUAAUAAGAAGUGCAGGUAGAAAGAGUCCAGUCCUGGUUGAGUCAUGGAUGACGAAGAACGCUUGGAGGGAGAGGAGGAAAUGGAUCUUGACGAGGCGACGGAUGGAGAUGACGAUGAUGAGGAUAGUGGAGGAAUCCCUAUUUCCCCUGCAAGUUCUGAUCAACUGCUUGGCCCAGUUUCAACACCUGGCAAUCUAAUUCACGAUGAAGUAUUUCAUGAUCCAAUGCGGUGCCAGAAAUUUCCUUUCCCUGGAGGAAAGCCACUUAACAUCAGAAGAGGCCCUGGAAGGCCACGAAAAGAGAGACCACUCGUACGAGGAGUACGGAAUCGACCCUUUGGCAGAGGGAUGACUAGAGGCAAGGGGUUUGGGUAUAUGCGCGGAAUACCACGCCGUACAAAAAGCAAAGACGACGACACUCAUUCAGAAUCUCCAAGCCCGUUACGUAAUAUAGAGGACCCUUUAGGUGAUGGAGAAGGAUCUAGCAUGGACCGAUCAAUGCCAGCACCCGAAGAACCACCAUAUUUUCCAGAACAAUGGCCCGGAAAAGUGUGUUCAUUGUGCAAUUUGGGCGAACGAAGUCAGCUAGGGCAGGGUGAGCUACUACGAUUGUCCUGCCCUGAGGGAUUUAAUCUAGAGAAAAAAGUGAUCAAAGAAGAAGUUUCCGAAACAUUGUUAGACAUAUCUUCAACUGGAGAUAAAAGUCCUCGAGCAGGUGGCUCUGGAGCUGUUACAUGUCGCCGGCAAAAAAGUCUGGCCAAAUGCAGAAACCCUAGUCUUACAAACUUCACGGAACCCGUGGAGGAGUUGAGCAUAGUUGGAUACGCAGACGAACCAGAAAUUGGAACGAUAUUCGAAUCUACCAGACACUUCUACAUUCAUCAUUCGUGUGCUCUUUGGUCAAUUAGCAAUCAGGAGUUGAUUGCCGAAAUUGUAAGCCGAGCGGUGGUCUUGGGCUCUUCACGCCGUUGUGCUUACUGUUCGCAUUACGGGGCUAGCAUUCCUUGCAAGGUGGGAUCAUGCAAUCGUUAUUUUCAUUUGCCGUGUGCUGCAGCAUCUGGUUGUUUUCAAGAUAUCAAGACAUUUACUCUAUUCUGUAGUCAACAUUUAGGCCAAGUUCCUCUGCUGUCAAAUGGUGACGUGAGUUGUAUGCACUGUUAUGGCAUGGGAGACGUUUCGAACCUAGUAAUGUGCUCCAUCUGUGGGCGUCAUUAUCAUGGAAGUUGCGUCGGACUUGCCCUUUUACCAGGAGUUCGCGCAGGUUGGCAAUGUGCAGGGUGCCGUAUUUGUCAAGUGUGCAGGCAGCCAGAGGAGGCAUCUAAAGUCAUGUUGUGCGAACAAUGCGACAAAGCAUAUCACCCUGGUUGUCUUCGGCCAAUAGUUACUUCAAUCCCAAAAUAUGGUUGGAAAUGUAAAUGCUGUCGAGUAUGCACUGAUUGUGGAUCACGCACACCAGGUGCCGGUCUGUCGUCUCGGUGGCAUGCUCAUUAUACAGUAUGUGAUUCCUGUUAUCAGCAGCGCAACAAAGGUUUUUCUUGUCCGCUUUGUCGAAGAGCUUACCGUGCGGCGGCCUACAGAGAAAUGGUUCAAUGCAGUUCGUGCAAAAAAUUUGUUCACGGCACAUGUGAUCCUGACGCUGAUCCCACAACUUAUCAUCAUCGUAAAGAGGCCAAGCCCGAGUACGAAUACGUAUGUUUACAGUGCAACCGCAUGGCCCUUGUUAAACGUAAGGACAACACUGAUGAUUACGGAGGUGAUUCGAGCGUCACUGCCUCUCAAGAGAGUCUCUGUGGCGAUGGAGAUUCUUCAGAAUUUGAUUAUCCAGGAGUAUCAGAGGAUGCGUUGUACUCUAUUGGUUUGGGCAAAGGGAAGCCAUUCUGUGCAUCUAAAAUUGCUAAAAAAAGACUCGGUUUCGGAAGCGGAGUAAUUGGUCGGCCAAAAGGAGUUGGAAAGUUGAGCUUUCAAAAACGUCAAAAAGUCACCGAAUUCGGACGUAAAAGAGGUCCCAAGGCGAAAAUGCGUGGAAUUUUUGGAGUGCCUGGAUUGGGGUUACAGCGACCAAUAUCUGAUUCGUACUCAAAAUUAGAAGAAGAGCCAGGUGUUGAGAAUAGAUUGGUUUUGUGCUCGGCAAAAGACAAAUUUGUUCUUACCCAAGACAUUUGUGUAAUGUGUGGAGCAAUCGGAACAGAUCAGGAGGGUUGUCUAAUCGCUUGCGCACAAUGUGGUCAGUGCUAUCAUCCAUAUUGUGUUAAUGUAAAGGUGACUAAAAUCAUUCUGCAAAAAGGGUGGCGAUGUCUUGACUGUACAGUGUGCGAAGGCUGUGGGGAAAGAAAUGAUGAAGCCCGGUUGAUACUUUGUGACGAUUGUGAUAUCAGCUAUCAUAUAUACUGUAUGGAUCCACCACUUGACUAUGUGCCGGACGGGACAUGGAAGUGCAAAUGGUGUGCACAAUGCCAGACAUGUGGAUCGAAUGAUCCUGGAUUCAACAGCGAUUGGCAAAAAAGUUUCACACAGUGUGGGCCUUGUGCCUCACAUACAGCAUGUGCAUCUUGUCAAGAACCAUACAAUGAAGGGGAGCUGAUAAUUCAAUGCGUCCAAUGUGAAAGGUGGCUUCAUUGUGCAUGCGAUUCUAUCAAGACGGAGGUUGAUGCUGAAAAAUGUGCCGAAGAAGGUUACAAUUGCGUACUCUGUCGUCCCAGAGAUGUUCCCCCACCUCACAUCUUAUGCAAUUUACCAAAACCCCUUCCACAUAAAUAUCCUCGGUCACCUCCACCGGUAGCUCGAAGUCCUGAAUUGCACAAACCGUCUCCUCAGCAAUAUUUAGUAGACGGUGUUUAUCUGUCAGAAGCUGGUAUGCAUCACAUCAAAUCAUUAACUGUUGAGCAACAACAAACAAGAAAGAAGAGGAGGAAGAUCUUACCGCUUUUAGAUAAAGAAGCUGGUAUAAUGGCUACUAUUGAAUCUGUAGUAGCUGGUGGCAGUCUUGACAAUUCCCUUGAAGAUAACGGGAAGUUAGAUUUAAUAGACGUAAAAGAGGAGCCGAUUGAGGUUCUCAAGGAGGGUAUGGUAUGGACACCGCGUGGUGACCAACCGCCACCAGAAGGUUUUAGCAUUUAUACCACAGAGAAUGGUGUCACAGUUUUGAGGCGGAAACGGCAGCGAAAUUUACAAAAACUCGGGAUCGGUGGAUUUGUUGUAAGAUUACGUGGAACUCGUAAGGAUAAGGAGGAAGAAGGAGAUGGAGAGAAAACGUCUGACGGAUUACUAGGAAUUGCUGAGGAUAAGCCACGUAAAAAACCACAGCGCAGAAAACCGAAGCCAAAACUUUCGGAGUGUUUUCCACUUUACAUGCAGGAAGCUUUUUUUGGAAAAGAUCUCUUGGAUACCAUUAAAGACAAAGAUAUCGAAAGUAGCAGUGACUCUGAUACAGAACGUAAUGUUGCAAGCAAUGCUGAUACCAUUCAACUCUCGCAGGAUGAACUAAAAGCAAUUGAGCAAGUCAAGACUAAGCAGGAAAAAGAGGACGAAAAAUUUCUCCAUGGGCAAUCCAUCAAACGAGAAGAAGCAUUGGAAGAUGAAGGUAGCGAUGGUGAAGCUCUCGGUGAUAUCCUCCCUAUUUCAGGAGAUCUACUUGACAGUGAACUUGUAAAUACUAUAAUGAAUGAACCAGAUGAAGACUUGGCCAAAGCUAGCGAGGCACUGGAGGACUUACAAGAUACGCCUGGACCAAAUAAAGAUGAACUCACUGACAUACUCAGCCCGCACUUCAACUUGGAAUCAAUGGUCAGGGACACUGGUCUGCCAAAUAUGGACAGCAGAGACGUUGAAGAAAUAUUUAAAGGAGUACUAACGGAUGAAUCACAAGAGUCUCAAGAAUCAUCUGUUUUUCCGACACAAACGCAAGCUUCGCAUCCGCCUUCUUCUUCAACUCCAUUAGUAUCACCUUCACUGCAUCCAGGCUUGAGUUUGAAUAGGCCACAGGUGCCUGGUACAUUACCUUCAGUUGGGCAGUCCAAUUUGAAUUCACCAAUGAGUUUUCCACCGCCAUCUCCAUACCAUUCGGAGUACAGCAAUAGUCCGCAAUUCAGUCCCGCAUUUUCGGAACCGCCUAGUCCAUGGUUGAAUCCAGAAGAAGAAGGCACAGUGGCUGCUACUGGAAGUAGCACUGCUAUAACGUACAAUCAACGCAGCAACCUUAAAAUGGAAGCUGAUGAAGCUCUUGGAAGUAGUGCAACUAUAUCGGCAGUUCUAUAUGCAAAUAUGAAUCACCCUGAAUGGAAAACCGAAUAUCCAGCUUGGUCCGAGCGUUGCAAGCAGAUACUGAAACGAUGGCGAGCUUUGACUAAUGAUCAAAAAGCUCCCUACUUGAAUCAGGCUCGAGAUAAUCGAGCUGCAAUUCGCAUGAAGAAAACACAACAGAUACCCAAGGAUUUACCAAGCACAACCCCAGUCACUGCAACAAGCGCACCUACCAUCACCACCAAACCUGUCACAGCUAUAACAUCGACUGAAGUCUCUUCGGUAGUAACUAUGGCCAAUAGCCAAAAGCAAAUUGGACUUUUGGUCUCAGUCAUCGGUGAUAAAUCACAGGAGAAGAGUGGGGUAACUGGUUCAACAACGGGAGUGUCAGGGGCGACAUCUAGCAGUGUUCAUCUAGUGGAGGUGUGUGCGGUGCAGGGACCGCCGAGGCAGCUAACAUCUCUAUCCCCAAGCCCUUCCCCAACACAUUCCACACCACCUUCUACGCCUAGACCUAAUUCUAUCAGCUCUGUGAAUUCCAUUAACAGCCUGGUACACCAAGAGGUAGCCGGUUGCCAGGCUAGAGUAGCACAGUCACCAGUCACACCUUGCACAUCAGCUUCUUUCUGCAAUUCCGGGGGCGGUGACGGUCAGCAUCAAACAUCACCAUCCCAGCAACGUUCCGUACCUCUUCACCUUACCAUCAGUACUAACACCACUACUAACAAUCCGAACAUCCCUCCGGCGUGCCCUGCUGCCAAUUCUAUACGCCAGCUAUCCUCAAUAGAUCACCAGAUUAGAGUACUGACCCCGUCUGAAAUCAUGCGCACACUCCCAUCUCUCAGCCAGGAGCACUACGAUCCGCCACCCACUGCAAUUAUUCACACUGUACCUGUACAGGCCCCGCCUAUGGAACAAGAUAGACUUUCAAACAGAGAUCGGUCUAGUCGGGAGGCAGAGCAAGAGCGUCAAUGGAAACAUCUGCAAGCAAUGCGCCAACAGCAAGCACAAAUACAGCAGCAAGUUAUUCACGAGCAGCGCGUACAUGCCAUGGCAAGGGUACACAGACAGAUUAAUGAAGAUGGCACACCUCAAAUGAGCACCGAAAACACCCCAGGAUUAACAACCCAAUUACAAGUCUCCACAGCUCAGGAUGGAAAUCAUAUGGGUCCAAUAGCGUCGUCAUCUCCUGGAUCUCGUGCAACGUUUUCAACCCCUCCGAUGAAAAUUACAAAGGGUGUAGCUCCCCAGAGUCCGCUCCAAGGUAUUACACGCCUACCAAAUCAACACUCUACUCCAGUCACCCGUCCGGUCAGCUCUGUUGUGCGGCCUGGCAUGCCUAGUACUUUUGCACAGCCUCCUUCUCCAUUUUCACCGCAACCUCAAUCUCCCCAUGAUUUUCCACAAUCUCCUGCAGCUUCGCAAUCACAGGAUCAUUUCCAACGCUUUGAACCUUCAGAAUCGUACAAUCAAACUCCUCAAACAUCGAGACCACAAUUUCCCACCACAACUUCGUAUGCAACCUCACCUCGGAACGAUUCUUUUCCUCAACCACCUGGUACACCUCGUCCUGUGUUUAAUGCUCCCACACCUCGUUCCUCACCACAUGUUUAUGCCCCAUCUCGAACUCCUGAUCCUUAUAGCAGCCAAGCACCCACUCCGUCUCCAGCUCCCAGUUAUACCCCACCCAGGGGGGAAUCGAGGCAGGAACCUCAAUCACCCGAGGUCUUCAAUCAGCAACCAGAAGUUAAUCGUCAAUUACGCGACUUGCUCCAACGGCAACAAUUUAAUAAAAAAUUGGAACCUCUCGCCACUUCGUGGAAUCAAGAUGGACAAGGUGUAAGUGAAAAUCCUCAGCCGCAAUUUGACGGAACUCAUCCUCAAGGUCCUCAACAUUCACAAGCUUCGGGAAAUACUGGAGAAGGUACUUUCAGGCAUCCUCUUCCUCCCGGUAUUGUCAGACCACGAAUGCCUAUCCAGCCAAAUGUCAUCAUACGUAAUCCCAUUGGGCUGAAUGUGAGGCUACCGACAGGAGCAAAUAUUGAAGCUAGAUUGCAAGGCGUCGACUCUCGCAAGAGAACGCUACUGCAACGGCCACCAGUGCCUGCUGGCAUACCGCCACAACAUUUUCAGAGUGGCCAAGUAUUGCAACAACGAUUACCUGGCCCGCGAAACCCUCUUGCGGAGCAGUUUGACAUUUUGCAACAACAGAGAUUUCCAGAACCCACGCAAACUCCACAAAGCUUAGUUCAACGAUCAGUGCGGCCUGGACUUGAUAAUAUAAACCAAGGUAUUAGAAUGAUGGGUGCACAAGGAAUAGUGAGACCACCACUUUUGUCAGCCUCGGUAACAGAAGCAAGUGCUCCAACUACUGAAGCUUCAGAAAUCCCAGAUAAUGUGACAGCAGAGCUUGAAAAACUUGAACAGGAGAGUGCUCCAAUGGUAGAAGUGGAAGGUGUUAGUGCAAUAUUGGGAGAUUUAGCUGACGAUGAUGACGAACUUCUAGCCGAAAUGGGAGCUGAUUUUAAUAUACUGGAAUAUGCAGAUCCCGAAUUAGACAAUAUGACUGGAGGUGAAAAAACUAACAUAUUUGAUCUCGACUUAGAGCAAGUAGAAGUAGAGACUAAAGAAGAUAAACAAAAAAAAGUAACGAAAACAGAAAUAAAGCGCGAAGACGUGGGCCCCACUCCAGCUACUCAUCCAGAAAUUAGAGAAGCGACCAGCAGUAGCUCAGCACAGGAUCUGUCAGAUACAACAACAAAUAUGCGACCACAGGCGCAAACAUUAGUUGCGACAUCUCAAAGCACUCAUCAACAACAACCUGCACCGGCACAACAAGGAACAAAUCCACAAGCUGCGGUCGUGCAGCAACAAAUGCAUCAACAAGUUCAGCAAGCAGCAGCUAUAGGAAGACCAAUGCCUGCUGGAACAAGGCUCAUAUCUCCUGAUGGAGCAAUCGGCGUUGUUACUUCGACUAACACUGUAACAGUCAGCUAUCCAUCUAAUUUUCCAGGUCAUUCACAGCGAUUACCUCAAUCUCACAUACAAACAAUACAGCAACAGCAGCAGCAUCAACAACAACAACAGCAACAGCAACAACAGACGCAGCCCCAACAGCAGCAGCAGCAACAACAGCAGCAACCACAGCAGCAGCAACAACAAACACAGCAUCAGCAGCCACAACAACCACAGCAUCCACAGCAACAGCAGCAGCAGCAGCAGAGGCUAGGAAUGAGAGUAGGUGGUGUUCCUGCUACACCAGGUCGUGUGGUACCUGUUAGCCAUAUGAUGGGUCCACGGACGCCUCUGCCACCACCGCCACCUCCACCAUAUCCCGGACUUCCUCCGCCAUAUCCAGGACCUAUACAGAUGGGGCUGUGCCCGGGUGGGCGGGGCUUGGUGCGCCCCACGGUCCAUGUAGGGCACCCUGGACCAGUAGCAGGUCCAUCGCUACCCUCCGUGGUCCACACUGGUGUACCCGGCAUACCACCGCAUCCUCACCGGAGACCCUUGCUUCUGCAGUCGUGUUCACAGGAGCAACCGUUGCUGCUGGAGGAAUUACUGGAACAAGAAAAACGUGAACAAGAAAAACAACAGCAGCAGCAGCAAACGGACAUCUCAACACCGAGUGGUGCUUUACUAAGUGAUAGUGAAUUCGAAAGACUCAGAGCUGAUGUGCUGGGCUCUACUCCUCUUUCUUCUCCACCUCAAAAUUUCAUCUCCAGUGGAGGAGUACCUAUUGUUAGACCUCCGUGUGCUCCAAGACCUCCUUCAACUCCUGGAGCAGUGUGGCCACAAGGAAUUUCUGAUACUACGAAACUAGUUGGACAAACACCCAGACAACCGAUUGCUACACAAACUCCGCCUGAACCAAGGAUAGCUACAUUUAAUAUUCCACAACUUCCAACACCACCAGCACCACCAGAGAACAUAGUGACUGAACAAGAUCGUCAAAUUCAGUUACAGUAUGAGCACUGGUUCAAUCAUCAAAACCAAAUUCUAUUGCAGCAACUGAAAUACUAUGAAACGGAAGUUCAAAAGUUACGCAAAAUGAAGAAAUCACUCAGCAGCAAACAAAGACAGUUGAGGAAAUCCGGAAAUGAACUAGCUGAAAAUGAUGCUGCGGAACUACAACGAAUAUCUAGCGAACAAGCUAUACUACAGAAACAUCUUGACGCUAGUAGGAAACAAAAUCGACAGCACGGGAUGCUUAUGCAGGAUUAUCGUAACAAACAACAACAAAGGCAACCCCAACCACAAACGUCGGAACCAUGUUCUCCAUUGAUGUCUCCGUCCCAGCAAUCUUCGCCAAUGCACAGUCCUGCAGCACUUGUAUCUCAUAGUCCUGGACCUGGAAGUGUACCAUCAAACAUAAUCCAACACCCUCCAGCAAAUUCUAUGAUACAACAUAGCCCAAAUCCACCAUUGCUACAACACAGCCCUGGCAACCCACAAACUGGUACCCCAGGAACAAUGUCACCACAUAAUAUGCAAUCUUCUCCCAGAAUUGGGACCCCGCAUUCCCAAGGGGAUGAUAGUCCUUUCAGUCCGGGUGCUAUGCCAUCACCAGGUAUAUGUGUUUCAAUGUCGACACGAAUGGCUUCCCCACAGCACAGAUCCGUUAUUACAGGGAGGCUUGCCACAAGUCCUGGAGCUUUUGCGUCAGAUGGACGAACCACUCAACAAAUGCUAGGAGAACAAAAUGUAAGAUUGCACUCCCUUCCUCAGCGCUUCGUUCGUCCUCCGAUUGUAGUAGAUGCCGGCCAGCGUCCCAGAAUGCAAUUGCAAGGUAACAUUAUUUACGGACAACGUUCUCCCCUCGGAAGUCCGCAGCCUUCUCAACAGCCGAUGAUGACCCAACAACAACAUCAGCAAAUGCUUCAACGACAGCAAAUGAUUCAACAACAGCACGAAGUUGGUGCAAUCUCUCACCAGGAGACGCAAAAUAUUAUAGCUCAGAGAACGUUACAGAUGGUGCAACAAAGGCAGCAGUUUUUGCAAAUGCAGCAACAGCACAUGAUGCAAAAACCACCAAGUUCACCGAUGGUAUCGCAACCUGCUAACUCCCCGAGCCCCCAGAUGCACCAAACCAUUCCACAGAACUACGGGCAACCGCCAAGCUCUCCGAUGCCUAGAAGCCCUAUGGUUCAACAAACGAUGGGUUCACCUAUGCUUCAACAACAGUUGAGUCAAAACUCACAACCACCUAGUCCAAUGAAUAACAGAAUUCAUUCACACCCUCCGAGUUCUCCGAUGAUACCGCAAUAUCAACCGCCGAGUCCUUUAUCAAGAAAUCAUCCGCCAACAUCGCCAAUGUUGCAGCAUCAAUUGAACAGCACGCAUCAUCCGCCGCCAUCCCAAACUCCAAACUCACCAAUGCCUCGAAGUCCAAUGGUCGGAGGAUCGCCUAUCCAGAUGCAAAGGAGACAAUCCAGUGGCAAUAGUCCAGCAAUGCCAGAGAGACCUCAAAGCAUAGAAAAUCCCGGAACCCCAAGGACACCUCACACGCCUCACACGCCUCAUACUCCGCAUACACCCUACAAUUCGCAGGGUUCGAAUAGUCAUUCAGGGGGAACUGAUCAGCAACAACAGGAUCAGAUAUUGUGUACGGAUCAUGGGAGCAGGGGUGGUGGAAAUCCUCAUAAUCCGAUGAACCCGAUACCUUUACUUUCGAGUUUUGGUAGAUAUGGAUAUUUCAAAAUCGGGCUCAGAGGAGGAUCACCGAUGUGGUCUAUGAAGCCAGAGUCUAGUAAGGGCAAGACUGCGGAGUCUCACUUACCAGGUGCUGAAGAAAAACCGAAUACUUCAACGUCUGUACACCGAAAAACCGGGAUUCCGCAAUCCAAAAUCAACUCAUUAGUGUGUGCUGAUUAUAACGAUUUUGACGACGAUUCUCAUACACCUCCACAAACGCCACCAACUGAAGUUGAGCCAAAAGCAACCUCUUCAUUAGCUGAUACCACCCCAGUACCUUUAAGUAGUCCUGGUGACAAGCUUGAGCCAAUCCCUGAUACGACAGAUUACGAUGAUGAUAAAACAAUCGUAAAUACAGAAGUGACAUUAAGCUCGACUGCCCAACGGGACAGCGAUGACAUUACAGUGAUAGAGCAGUUCGGUGAUUCUGAAUUAGGAGAUGUUAUAACUGGCACUCUAGAACCGGAUAUGCAAGAAGAAUAUGUUUUAUUUGAGUCAGAUAUGGUUGUGGGUCUGUCCGUUGACAGCAAUGAUUCUCUUAGCCAUGCAUUGGACCAUGACAAUAGUCAAUCGCAUGACUUAGUUCAAAUUCUAGAGAUCGAGAACACUCUCAAUCGUGUGGACGAGGCAGUAUUAAGUGACGAAGGUUCGGUUUUACCUCAGACCAGAAAUAAAAAAGGGCUACGGCUCGAUAUUGUAAGAAGUUUACAGCCUGGACGAAAGUUAGUUGCUGUUACUGAUACGCCGGAAUCCCCAGAUCAGGAAGAAAUGAAUGUAGACCCAUCACCCGGACCAUACAUCGAUCAAUCACCAGAUCAACAUAUAAUGGUUUCUCUCGUCGAAGAAUCAGAAGUUGUGAUCAUCGAUCCAAGUAGCAAAUCACCAGAGGAUAAUGUUACCAAGGAGUUUGGUCCUGACCAAACUGAUAAAACUGAAUCAAUUGAUCACAUACCACCGAUCCAAGAAAGUAACAAUUCACAGCUGUCAAAAAAUAUUGAACUUAAACAUCAACAGAAAGAAAUCAAUACUCCAAGCGUUACGUCGUUCAAAUUUACAGAUAAAGUUGUAAGACGCGAGAUGCCGGUAUCUAGCUUUCAGCAAACCAAUGUGUCUGAUAUUGUCAAACCAUCAGUUCCACAUUCUACUACUUCGACAAAUAUACCAGCUCAUACAACUGCUGGAACAUGCAGCACUGUCACAGAUAAUGUCUCAACUAGUGCGAAAACUUGUUCGAGUGUUUUCACUCUGAAAGAAAUUGUCACCUCAUCUGUAUCAAAAGUUCAAAAACAGACUAUGUCACCUUCUACCAUGGCUGGUAUUGUGGCCGAUGCUAAAAUCGCAGCCAGACUUUGCCAGGCAGCUGCAGAAGUUACAGUAAAUACAGAUAUAACUGGGGUUCAAUUGAAACAGCGCAAAGCAGCAGAACUAAUUACAACUACUACAACAGUGGGUGACAGUUUUCGUCAAUUCUUGCAUGAUUCAAAGAAUAAGCUGCAGCAGAAGCUCCCGGCAAAAUUAGCCAUCAGUAUUCAACCAACUUCUGUUACUUUAGCCACUCCCAAAAUGUCCAUACCAGACCUGACUAUCAAAGACGAUACAAACAGUAAUUCCGCCAGUGUUAAAAAUGAAUUGGGUGGGUAUCCUGACCGUUCAGAUGUACAAAACCAUCUCACUAAUCACGUGGGUAAUGAAACGCAAACACAAGAAGACAUGAGCUCGAAUAUUGUAAAUAGUAGUACAAAUUUGCUUUUAAAAGAUGAUAAUCAGGCCCAUGGUAAAAAUUCAGAUUCCUCCAACACCACCGACGAGUUAGAAAGCAUGCUGGAGGCCAUCCAUAAUCCUGAAAAUAAUGCUGCCAGUGAGACAAAAAGUUCAAAAGCAGAGAGGAAAAAAGCAGAAACUGGCAGAUUAAAGAGAAUGUCGCCUGUAGCUGACAAUUUAUCACUUGUAAAUAUUUUAGAAAACGAUGUAGAAUCAGCCAUAACAGCUUCCACAAAUAAGAACCAAAUUCCGUCAUCCACUACUCCUGCCGAAAGCCCAAAUGCUGAAUCUUCAAAAAUGCCUUCUACCACUUGCAAUACAAACAUAAUAACGGUUACCUCGUCUGGAAGCAAGUUGCAGAAUCUAAGUUAUGCGGAUUCGAAAAAAAAUUUGACACAGAAUUUGAAUGAAGAAAAGCAUGUGAUGGAUGAGUCAUCUGACGAGAUCUUAGAUAUGCUGCAUAACAUAAUAUCUGCUAAACCUGAGAUGGCGAAUACCGAUAUGUUGCAGGAAAGUAAUUCAAGUAAGCCUAGUUUAAUUUAUCCUUUGCCUGGCACGUUGGAUACUUUACCGCUAAAUAUUUUACAAGACUCUCUAUUAGACUUGGAGCAAGGAAACGGGGAAAGUGAAAAUCCAUCACCAAAAGAAAGGGAACUACCAAAAUCACAAUGUGCAAACACACCUACAGUAGAUUCGACUUCGAAGAAAGGUCCUGCACUACUAUCACAUAUAUCGUCACCAGUAGCUGUGAGUGCUGUAAUUCAAUUACAGAAAGCUACUACAACUGUACCUCAUUUAUCACCUUUGUCUAAACCAACAGAGUUGACUUCCAAUGUCGCUACUGUAUCUCAUCAGUUGCGAACCUUAUUGUCUUCUCUACAGUCGAACCACUCGCAGAGUUACACUAUAUCAGAUCAAAACAAUGCAUCAGCAACGUCAUCAAUAACUGCAACUGCCAAAAUCGGAACCACUGCAGCGCCGACCAACAGUAUAUCCACAACGUUGCACAUGGCUCCUUCAACAGAUACUAACCGUUCUUCGCAAACCACUAAUGCAACAGCAAGCCCAAAUGUUGACAUCAAAUCUGAUACGACUACUAGCAUUGGUUCCAAUGAAAUCAAUCAAGUAAAAGCUACUCAAGUUUCUACAGUAAAUGUUAUCUCCACAAUAUCUAAACCAACUUGUAGUGAGCACUAUUCAAGUAUGAAUUCUGGUACUGUGCAAGCGCAAACAGGAAAUGCUAGUUUGACGACUACUUCCACCAUAAUUUCGAGAACUGGGUCAAAUUCAAGUAUUUCAAUAACAUCGAAUGCAAUACUGAAUGCUAUGCUUGCUGGAACAAAUUCUGCAAAGUCAAUUACUACUGGGCACAGAGUCAGUACAGCUCAUACUCCAACAAGUAAUUUACUCAACUCUGUUACAUCACCUUCUGUCCAACGUACAAGUUCGCAAAAUUUUCAAGCAAUGUUACAAGUGAACACUAGUACCUCAAAUUCACCUAGAGCAACUGUUAGCUCAACAUCAAGUACAUCAAAUACAUCGUUGCAAUGUGUGAAAACAGUUGUUUCACCAGUAAUGAGCACUGCCACAGCUACUAUCAGUGUCACUACAAAUAUACUUCAGUCUACUUUAUCACAAGCUCCAACACUACUUCAUACCCAGUUAACAUCGGGCUCGGCACUUUACAAGUCAACAGGACACUUGCCCAUUGACAACAAGUCGAGUAAACUGGAAGGUCUUAUUCAAAGUGCAACUCAUAAAAAGGAAACAGAAGAAUCGAUGGCAAAAAUUCAAUUGAACUCGGAAAAAAUAGUUCCUGUUUCUAGAUCAGAUAUAGAAAUGACUAAAACUGGCGGAAAUUCAUCUAGAAUAGAAGAGUCACAAAAUGUACUUUUAAAGCAGCUGUUACAGAACACAGCUUGUGCUACAACAAUUUCGUCAUCUGGAACGAGCCAAGGAUCUAGUUUACCGUUAGUCCCCUCCCUUGAAGCUCAGUUAGCUCGCCCCGUGCCACCAACCCCAUCAUCUCUUCUUCCACCGCUGCUCAAUGAAGCAACGGUCAGUAAACCAAAACCCAAACAAAUCUUGACCAGAGAAACGUCAUUUGUCUCACAUCCAACUGCGCAGAAAAAAUCUCCGAGUCCUACAAUUACAGAAGAACAACCUACAGUGCCACUGCCCGUACUUCCAUCAAUUGCGUCUCCACCUCAACAAUCUGCACAGCAUACGGUAGACAAUGUUUCCAAACAAAACACAUUAGAUCAGCAGUCCUCGUCGCAUCAGGUUAUUAAUCCAGGAAUUCCCCAAGGAACGACCCCAUCGGUGGUUAAAGAUACAUCAGUAACAGAGCCAGUAUCAACCAAGGCAAUAUGCUCUUCACCAGAAAAUACUGUUCCUACGAUUACUAAACCAUUGACUAAAACUGUUCAUGAUUCAAUAUGUACAAGCACUACUCAAAUGCCAAAGCAACCACUACCAGCUUCUUCGUCUGUAUCACAAGUAAUUCCUGGAACUAAAUCAAAUACAGUAACAGCACCUUCUAAGCAGCCGGUAAUUACUGGUCAAUCCACGAUGCAAUCAACGUCCGUCACAAUUUCAAAUUCUCAGAUAUCUCUGUCUCAUAGUCAACCACCGAUGUCACAAAACGUAUCUCUCGUAACUCAGAAACCUUCGCAUAUUAAUAUGAUACAACCAUCAGUGCCUCUGCCGGUGUCUCAUCAAAUGGGACACCAAGCUCAGUCGUCACAGGGUGCUCUUAUGCAACACACAGUGCCUUUAGUGGAAGUUAAGAAGGAAAUACUAGAUGAAGUACUUUCCGUUGGCACCCCGACUCCAGGAUCUGAAACCAAAGACUUUCUUACUGCCAAAGAUGAAUUCAUCGAUGGAUCCACAGAUGAUAAAAUAGAUCUCAAAAAGUUGAAGAGGCGACAGUAUCAACAAAAACGUAGACAAAGCCAAGGGAAAGAUGCUACGACUGUUCCACAAAAGAAACGGCCGAGAAAAGGAUCUCGUCAGGAUGAGGAUUACGACACUUUUGUUGAUAAUUUAAUGUCUCAGUUACGGCAACUUCAACCUAUGGCAGUCCUCGAGCCACUACUAGGGAGGAAUUAUGGUGUUUGCCCUAUCUUCGGUUUUGGAGAUUUAUCAAAAAUUGGUACGCAAAGAGACUACAGCACCCGUAUUGGCGAUUUAACUGGUUCCUAUGGCAAUGCAACCUUACAAGGAACGGCAGAUCAUUACAACACUCGGCCAUUUGGCGAAUUGCAACCACUUCCAGCACAGCCAGCUCCUUCUACCCAAAGAGGCUUCUAUGAUCAAGAAUUUGUACCUUUGAAAUUCGACGAUUCUGACGAUAAGAAGGAUAAUCCGUUGGCUCUGACCCGUGACGUUGAUACACCCGAUACAAUCGUCAGCUCAUCGUCUCCUGAAUGUGUCAUCCCUGAGUUUAUACAUAGAUUUCCUGGGUUGAGAUUAAUAGAAGAGGAAUCUGAUGAAGAGUCCGAUUGGCUGAAGCGGGUGUCUCCUGUAAUACCACUAGUGUCUCCUAUUCCAGUUAGGCCUAAGCCAGGUUUCACUAAAGAUUCCGCUAAAAUGGACAAAGAAAACUUUGGUGUCUCAAGGACAGGUAAAUCACAUCCCUUACCAUUGCGGGAUAAUGGUAAUGUCACUGUGACAUUAACUCUGAAUAGCCAGGCUGCAGAUGAUAUCAUGGGAGUAUUGAAGGACUUAGCCAAUAUCUUAAACAUUGCUCCACCCACGGGUUAUCAAAUAAUUGAGCGCACAACUACCCCACCAAGUCAAAAGUUGGGACUCUACAGAACAAAAGGAAAAGAUGGUAAAGAAGGAGCUCCUAUAGAUAUCCAAAGCAUUCUCAACGGAGCAGCUAAGUUCUGUCGUCACUGUGAUGUGGUCAUCCUUAACAGUUUGAUACGGAAAAAGGUUUCAGAUCUACCUUUCUUGAGUAAAGAAGAAUCUGAGCCUGGCGAGGAACUUUGCUUUUGUUCAGCAGCGUGUUACAUGCAAUUUGCUCUUAUUCAUAGAUCACCGACAGCCACUCAUGAAAAGGCAGCAACAAUUGUGGACCAUCUGUGCCAAAACUCACUGUCUAGAAUUGCUGACAUGGAACUGAAGACUGAAGCUCAUGAAAAGAAAUUUGUUAUGCACCGCUCAGCCGAACAAAAUGAUAAUCUGAAACUAGAAGCAAUGGAAAUUGCGACAGAAGUCAAAAUUAAAACUGAAAAAGAUGUUGAUAUAGAUACUGUUCAUCUGAAAGAAGAUUUAGUUGAUGAAAAACGACCGAAAAAACACCCAGCUACCGAACAAUUAAUUGAUGAUUCUAUCGAUCCCCCAACAAAAGUUUGGAGAGGUCUUCGAUAUAAGUUAUGGACACCAGGUGCUAUCCAACCAGCAACAAAGUACAAAAAACCCGUGGAUCGUGAGAUCACAGAGAUGCUUUUUCGUUUGGGUGUUACUGUAAUGCCCGUAAAGACCGACGACAGUCGCCAUUGUCUGUUUUGCAAUAGUCAGGGUGAUGGUGCUGCGGAUGGACCCGCAAGAUUGCUUAAUCUGGAUGUUGACAAAUGGGUGCAUCUCAAUUGUGCUUUGUGGUCGGACGAUGUAUAUGAAACUGUGAAUGGUGCUUUGAUGAAUUUGGAUGCAGCUCUGCAACACAGUCUUGUUCUAAACUGCAUGUUGUGCGACAAACCUGGAGCUACUGUAAAGUGCUUCAAAAUGCGUUGUACAAACGUUUAUCAUCUCGGCUGUGCAGUCAAGGAUGGUUGCGUCUUCUACAAAAACAAGAGUACGUAUUGCUCGCAACAUGUCCCGAAAAAUGAAAAAGAUAAUGAAUUGACAACUUUAUCGGUAUACCGACGAGUAUACGUGAAUCGUGAUGAGAACCGGCAAGUAGCAGCUGUGAUGCAUCAUUCGGAACAUAAUCAUCUUUUGCGGGUUGGAAGCUUGAUAUUCUUGAGUGUGGGUCAACUGUUGCCACAUCAAUUAUCCAACUUUCAUACGCCAAAUUUCAUCUAUCCAGUUGGUUACAAAAUAGUGAGAUUUUAUUGGAGCAUGAAAAGACCGAAUAAACGCUGCAGAUACGUAUGCUCGAUUCACGAUGUAUCCGGACGACCAGAAUUUCGAGUAUUGGUUCAAGAACCUUCGCAAGAGGAUGUUGAGUUGCGAGAUGCGACACCUCGUGCCGUCUGGAAUCGCAUUCUGGAACCAUUAGCUGAAUUACGCCGCACCACACACAGUGUUCAAUUGUUUCCACGUUACGUUUCUGGGGAGGAUUUAUUUGGUCUCACUGAGCCUGCGGUUGUCCGCGUCCUUGAAAGCCUUCCGGGAAUUGAAACUCUUACAGAUUACAGAUUCAAAUAUGGGAGAAAUCCUUUAUUGGAACUGCCAUUAGCUAUCAAUCCCACUGGUAGUGCAAGAACGGAGGCUCGUUUGAGGAAUCAAUUGCCGUGGAAAAGGCCGCAUACCCAGCGAACUGGCUCUUCAGCGAGAGCAACAUUCGUACCUACGGCAACUGUUGCUGGGGAAGUAGCGUGUCCUUAUUCAAAACAAUUUGUACACUCUAAAAGUUCACAGUAUAAGAAGAUGAAACAAGAAUGGCGGAACAAUGUUUAUUUAGCACGAUCCAAAAUUCAAGGCCUAGGAUUGUACGCAGCUCGGGAUUUGGAAAGACAUACUAUGGUCAUUGAAUACAUUGGGGAAAUCAUUCGUUCUGAACUAGCUGAGACCAGAGAGAAGCAGUACGAAGCAAGGAUAUCCUCUGCGUACUUGAAGUCACCAUCGAGAAAAAUGGUGCACAGCGUCCUGUCCCGUAACUCACGCAUAGUAGAGCCAUAGCAGUUUUAUGUGAAAAAAUUAGAACAAGAAAGUAUAAAUAGAAGACUUUAGUCAGAAUCGUGGAAUUUAUAUGUUUCGCUUGGAUGAAGAACGAGUAGUGGAUGCAACAUUGUGUGGAGGACUUGCUCGAUACAUUAACCACUCUUGUAACCCAAAUUGUGUCGCUGAAAUCGUUGAGGUUGAACGUGA